rnacentral:rRNA from 1 species
GAACGCCCCGCAAGGGGAGUGGCAGACGGGUGAGUAACACGUGGGAACGUACCCUUUGGUUCGGGACAACUCAGGGAAACUUGAGCUAAUACCGGAUAAGUGCGAGAGCAGAAAGAUUUAUCGCCGAAGGAUCGGCCCGCGUCUGAUUAGCUAGUUGGUGAGGUAAUGGCUCACCAAGGCGACGAUCAGUAGCUGGUCUGAGAGGAUGAUCAGCCACAUUGGGACUGAGACACGGCCCAAACUCCUACGGGAGGCAGCAGUGGGGAAUAUUGGACAAUGGGCGCAAGCCUGAUCCAGCCAUGCCGCGUGAGUGAUGACGGCCUUAGGGUUGUAAAGCUCUUUUACUCGGGAAGAUAAUGACGGUACCGAGAGAAUAAGCCCCGGCUAACUUCGUG